CAGUAAGUAUUUUAAUAUAAAAUAUUAGUUUUGGAUACUAAAGAUGAUUUUUUCUUUACUGA
rnacentral:tRNA from 2 species